UGGGGAAUUUUGGACAAUGGGGGCAACCCUGAUCCAGCCAUGCCGCGUGAGUGAAGAAGGCCUUCGGGUUGUAAAGCUCUUUCGGCGGGGACGAAACGGUUCGUGACAACACCACGGACUAAUGACGGUACUCGCAGAAGAAGCACCGGCUAACUACGUGCCAGCAGCCGCGGUAAUACGUAGGGUGCAGGCGUUAAUCGGAAUUACUGGGCGUAAAGCGUGCGCAGGCGGCUCCUUAAGUCAGAUGUGAAAUCCCCGGGCUUAACCUGGGAACUGCGUUUGAAACUGAGGGGCUAGAGUGUGGAAGAGGGGGGUGGAAUUCCAGGUGUAGCAGUGAAAUGCGUAGAGAUCUGGAGGAACACCGAUGGCGAAGGCAGCCCCCUGGGCUAACACUGACGCUCAUGCACGAAAGCGUGGGGAGCAAACAGGAUUAGAUACCCGUGUAGUCCCUGAGCGGGCUGGCAAGGCGCAU
rnacentral:rRNA from 1 species